rnacentral:rRNA from 1 species
UACGUAGGGGCAAGCGUUGUCCGGAAUCAUUGGGCGUAAAGAGCGUGUAGGCGGUUCGGUAAGUCGGCUGUGAAAGUCCAGGGCUCAACCCUGGGAUGCCGGUCGAUACUGCCGGACUAGAGUUCGGAAGAGGCGAGUGGAAUUCCCGGUGUAGCGGUGAAAUGCGCAGAUAUCGGGAGGAACACCUAUGGCGAAGGCAGCUCGCUGGGACGUUACUGACGCU